rnacentral:misc_RNA from 1 species
CAUCUGUAGUCUAAUGACUGA